CCUACGGGAGGCAGCAGUGAGGAAUAUUGGUCAAUGGGCGCGAGCCUGAACCAGCCAAGUCGCGUGAAGGAUGGCUGCCCUACGGGUUGUAAACUCCUUUUAUAAAGGAAUAAAGUGAGGAACGUGUGCCUUUCUGUAUGUACUUACUGAAUAAGGAUCGGCUAACUCCGUGCCAGCGGCCGCGGUAAUACGGAGGAUCCGGGCGUUAUCCGGAUUUAUUGGGUUAAAAGGGAGCGUAGAUGGGUUGUUAAGUAAGUUGGGAAAGUUUGCGGCUCAAGCGGAGAAUUGCCAUUGAUACUGGCAGUCUUGAGUACAGUUGAGGUAGGCGGAAUUCGUGGUGUAGCGGUGAAAUGCAUAGAUAUCACGAAGAACUCCGAUUGCGAAGGCAGCUUACUAAUCUGCCACUGACAUUGAUGCUCGAAAGUGUGGGUAUCAAACAGGAUUAGAUACCCUUGUAGUC
rnacentral:rRNA from 1 species